rnacentral:lncRNA from 1 species
CUCCAAUAUCCCACAUCAGAAAGCGUGUGUUGUUAACCACGAUCUCUUCCACAUUGCUGCCUAUCGUAGGUGAGGUAUGCACCACUUCAUUCAUUGAGAAUUGAUAAAGAAUGGUAGUUUUUCCUGCAUUAUCCAGACCAACAAUGAUUACUUUGUGCUCCUGGUGGUUGAACAGCCUCCAGAUCCUGGUGAAGAGGAUCCCCAUCCUCGGCCCGCUCCGGCCGCCGCCGGCUCCUCCGCACCCGCCGCCAGGGGCUGCCCGUGGCCGCGGCCGCCUCAGGGCCCGGCCCGGCGCCCGGCCUGCGGGAGGGGCCCCCCGCGCCGGGCCUGCUCGCGCUGCGCACUGCGGGCCGAGCGCCCCCCGCGCGCGGACAUCGCCGCCGCCCGCGCUCCGCCGCUCCGCUCCUCGCGCCGCGCCUUCCCGCAGGCCGCCGGCCGGCACCGCUCCGCACCACAACGCGCCGCGCUCCUCGCGGCCACCGUAG